rnacentral:rRNA from 1 species
AUGAACGCUAGCUACAGGCUUAACACAUGCAAGUCGAGGGGCAGCAUGGUCUUAGCUUGCUAAGGCCGAUGGCGACCGGCGCACGGGUGAGUAACACGUAUCCAACCUGCCGUCUACUCUUGGACAGCCUUCUGAAAGGAAGAUUAAUACAAGAUGGCAUCAUGAGUCCGCAUGUUCACAUGAUUAAAGGUAUUCCGGUAGACGAUGGGGAUGCGUUCCAUUAGAUAGUAGGCGGGGUAACGGCCCACCUAGUCUUCGAUGGAUAGGGGUUCUGAGAGGAAGGUCCCCCACAUUGGAACUGAGACACGGUCCAAACUCCUACGGGAGGCAGCAGUGAGGAAUAUUGGUCAAUGGGCGUAGGCCUGAACCAGCCAAGUAGCGUGAAGGAUGACUGCCCUAUGGGUUGUAAACUUCUUUUAUAAAGGAAUAAAGUCGGGUAUGUAUACCCGUUUGCAUGUACUUUAUGAAUAAGGAUCGGCUAACUCCGUG